CAUAUGUCAAUGUAUACGAUGCAGAGAACAUAAUGCCUCCCAAAUAGAGUAUGAUGUCAGUGUGUUCCCAAGAGUGGCGAGUGAAACCCCCCGAGUGACUUCAGUGUGUGAAACCUGAUAUGUAAUCCCCCCAAGAGUGAAGUGUGGUGUGUAAUCAAACAUCCUACGCCCUUAACACCCUGUGACGCCCUACGACGCCCUAUAACGUAUGCAACACCCAUGUGUGUGAAGAGCUAAGCCCGAACCAGGGCCACAGACCCCAAAUUAGAAUGGUAUAAAAGAGAGAGCGCAGAAGACCAGCUCGUCCCACUCGGUGACCGAUCCAGCUCCAGGGCAACCUGCCAGACGAGAUCUCGGAUGAGGCCUCGGUGGAGACAUCGGACGCCUGCCCGGUGUGGACUCCCGGAUCGAGGAGGAGGCAACCGGAUUGACGACCGCAAUCACCAGGAAAGGAGAAACAAAGCCGCGCUCCUCGUCUUGUGCAGGAGAAAAGCAAGUUGCAUGGGAGCAGGCAGAGUAUGAUCACCUUCAGUGCAACCACACUGGAGGAAAACGCUCUCCAUCCCUUUCUGUGUGUAAUGAUGUUUACAAACUCAUGGAGAAGUCUUUGGCAAAAGGAUACACACCAGCCUGGAAACAUAAGACACAUCAAGGAGAUGGAAAUUAAGGGACUCCAGCGUCUUCAUCAGGGAGUUGCAGAUCCUUUGGAGCCAAGGAACGGAACUGACAUGUGAGACUUUGGUCAACUGAAGGCUUCAUGAGCAGAUGCCUUUGCCAAGGUCUUUGUGAACAGUCUCUCGCCGUGGGAUUGUGUCUUAGAAACUUUUACGUUUGAUCAUGAUCGUGCUUGGCUGGAUGCUUUUCGUUGGACUUGCAUGUUACAUGGGCACAUUUCCAGAGGUGAUGACAUUAUGGAACUGAUAAGGGGAUCUUGCUGGAGACAGUGCCUGACUUCUAGGUUUCGAGUCAAGUAGGUCAGGAGUUGCUGAUGGGAAGAAUUGUGGGGCUGGGGGCCUCUGAGCAGCUCUUCUGCUCACCACACGGAGGCACUGAGCUAAUGGAGCCAUCUCCACCUUUAGUUUUAUUUCCCUCUCAGCCUCCAACUCUGAAGUGGAAAGAGAGAUGUCCUGUUCCAGAGAGCAAGGCACGAUGGAGGAGCUGGGCUUUGGAGGAAGAUCUGCCACUGUAAGAGGGUGGUCAGGGGCACUGGGCUGGGUGCCCAUUUCUAGAGGACCCUGUGGCAUCCUGGAAUCUCAGCGGAGAGCUUUUCUUCUCCUGGAAAAUACACUGAACUGCGGAAGGGGAAAUGGUUUGAAGUGUAUGCUGGGAAAAGAAGACUUGGGGGCUAAUGCCGAGGACAGCAGGCCAACAUUCAAGUCUAUUAAUACCUAUUCCUUUUGAACAUUUCCUGUUUAUUGUUUUCUCCUCACAAACACUAUAGUAGACCAAUAUUUUUAACACUCAUUUUGGCAGAUGGUGAAACUAGAGAUAAUAUGAAUUUGAAGCUCAAGUCCUAACUUUGCAACACUAGCCCUGACUUUGGGAAAGUUUAACUUCUCAGAACCAGUUUCUUCGUCUGUGCAUAGGAACUAUCUCCGAGUCUUCCUGUUUUGGUGAAGGUUAUACUUAGGGAUUCACGUAAGGCAUUUAACGCAGGGUUUGACAGUAUUUAGUGAAGUGUUAACUACUAAGCAAAAUCAUAAAGCAAUCAGCAAACAUGUACCGGUGACACCGUAAUCCAGUGCCACACAGUCAGCCUGUUGUCCUUCACUUACUCCCCCGGCUGACCUGCCUAAGCAGCAGGAAUGGCAGCAGUCCCACUGGCAAACCAGCUCCUGGGCUUCUUGCUUCUGUUUCAUUCAAAUGUUUGCUUUUCUCAAGAGCGAAUCAUACUGCUACAGAAAAUUAACUCUUGAUCGUUUUAAUAAUAUAUUCAUCCCAGGAGCAGGCUUUUGGAGACGCUCCCCCAGAAGGUAGGGUUAUCAGGCCCCAGGCCCGGGCAUACCAAGAGCAACGUGUAACAGUGAGGCUUUUCUCCACGUGCCCCAGGGUUUCUCAGACAAGCAUCGGCCCAAAGCAUUUGUGAGUGUGGGGAUUGUUCAGCUGAGCCACUGCCACAUUGUGAUCCUGAUCAAACCACUCACUACUCCAGACCUCACUUCAUCUGGCUGCGAAAUAAGCACAAUAAACCAUCUUCCUUUCUUUCUCUGGAAAGUUACAAGGUUUGCAUGAUGGAGUAAUUGCUCUUUCACAAAAUGCAAGCUUUUUCUUCUUUGAAGUCUCGACAAUAGCAUAUGAAGUUAAUUGAUCAUAGUAAACAUAGGCAGUUCUUCUAAUAAACCCAGGUACUAUUUUGUUCUUGGCAUAGCAGUGUUUUUUGGUAUCAGAUUGCAUCAAGCCAAUAGUUAAAUAUUUUGGCAUUUGCUAAGUCGUCAAGGAUGUGCUGCCAGCUAGGUCUUACUUGCCACAGAACAGGGCUCCUUUGAUUAGGUUUAUUCAGCCCCAACACACCUGGCAUUCUGGCCACCCACCCCACAGCUGCUCACUCUGACUGGGUCCCUGGUGUCACAGGGGCUGAUGUCAUAAUUGGUACCUGAGUCCUGUCCCUCAGGAUGGCCAUGGAGAGUCCUGUUAGUUCAGACUAGACCACGAAGAUCCUCAGCCAGGAGCUGCCAUGCAGGGCCACCCACCCAUCAUUCGGACUUGAGUGGAGACAGCCCAUUCCCAGGACUCGGGGCAGAGAGCACCACACCUUCCAGGACCACCAUUCCCCCGCCCGCGGACGCCGGCAGCUGAACAAGAAGCCCCACCAUGAUUGUUGUCUUAUGGAUGCUUCUCAUUGCAGGAACCAUGUGGAAGGGAUAUAAAUAUCCCCCAGGAGGGACCCCUGUGGAAAUAAGCAAGGAUGAUCCUGGUGAAGUAAUGCAGCUCUGAAGCUUACCUGGCUAGCAGUACAGUUCCUGUUGUUGGUGUCACAUAAAGGAUCAGAACUACUCAUUUUGACAAGAGGAACUAUAGCCAGCUCUGCUUCUUCCAAACUGGGCCACGUAGCUAGAUUCUUAUUGCCCUAAUCACCUGACAGUUCUCCCUAAUGCGGGUGUCAGACAGUACCUCAAGCUAGCAGCAGACGAGGAAAGAGAUCAGUGGUAGGGGCUGAAGAAGACGGAUGUGUAAGGGAGGAUGAGCAGAGGAGUGUGUCAAAUCUAUACUUGUUACAUCUGAUGAGGCUACUGAGAUUUUUUUCCCUGGGAAAAUAUUCAAGGUGGUAAGAAACAGCUUGAAGUUUUAAUCAAUAAAUGCAAACCAGUAAAAAUAUCAAUAAAAUAUUUUUAAUGCCUACAAUUUCUUGUAUACAUAAAUUGCAAAACAUUCACCUGUAUAUGCAAAAGUAUAUUCUCUUGCAGGUCAACAGCACCAGAAUACAAGCUAAGCUAUGUAAAGUUUUUUUUAAACUUGAUUUGUCCAUUAUGUAAAAGACAUGACAGAUUUAAU